rnacentral:rRNA from 1 species
GACGUAGGGCGCGAGCGUUGUCCGGAUUUAUUGGGCGUAAAGAGCUCGUAGGCGGCUUGUCGCGUCGACUGUGAAAUCCCCCGGCUCAACCGGGGAACUGCGUCCGAUACUGGUGGGCUCGAAUCCGGGAGAGGGAUGUGGAAUUCCCGGUGUAGCGGUGAAAUGCGCAGAUAUCGGGAGGAACACCGGUGGCGAAGGCGGUUCUCUGGGCCUUACCUGACGCUGAGGAGCGAAAGCGUGGGGGAGCGAAACAGG